rnacentral:piRNA from 1 species
UUCACACAUGUAUUGUUCACUGAACAGCUA